rnacentral:rRNA from 1 species
CAGAACCGCGGGAAAACGUAGGGCGCAAGCGUUAUCCGGAAUUAUUGGGCGUAAAGAGCUCGUAGGCGGUUUGUCGCGUCUGCCGUGAAAGUCCGGGGCUCAACCCCGGAUCUGCGGUGGGUACGGGCAGACUAGAGUGAUGUAGGGGAGACUGGAAUUCCUGGUGUAGCGGUGAAAUGCGCAGAUAUCAGGAGGAACACCGAUGGCGAAGGCAGGUCUCUGGGCAUUAACUGACGCUGAGGAGCGAAAGCAUGGGGAGCGAACAGGAUUAGAUACCCGGGUAGUCCCUGUCUCUUAUACA